AGCGAACGCUGGCGGCAGGCCUAACACAUGCAAGUCGAACGAAGUCUUCGGACUUAGUGGCGGACGGGUGAGUAACACGUGGGAACGUGCCUUUAGGUUCGGAAUAACUCAGGGAAACUUGUGCUAAUACCGAAUGUGCCCUUCGGGGGAAAGAUUUAUCGCCUUUAGAGCGGCCCGCGUCUGAUUAGCUAGAUGGUGAGGUAAAGGCUCACCAAGGCGACGAUCAGUAGCUGGUCUGAGAGGAUGAUCAGCCACAUUGGAACUGAGACACGGCCCAAACUCCUACGGGAGGCAGCAGUGGGGAAUCUUGCGCAAUGGGCGAAAGCCUGACGCAGCCAUGCCGCGUGAAUGAUGAAGGUCUUAGGAUUGUAAAAUUCUUUCACCGGGGACGAUAAUGACGGUACCCGGAGAAGAAGCCCCGGCUAACUUCGUGCCAGCCGCCGCGGUAACAC
rnacentral:rRNA from 1 species